rnacentral:SRP_RNA from 1 species
GCCAAGCACAGUGAUGUGUGCCUGUGGUCCCAGCUACUCAAAAGGCUGUGGCAGAAGAAUAAGCCAGGAAUUCUUGAGCCCAAGAGCUCUAGGCUGUGUGUGCUAUAUUGAUCAAGUGUCCGUGCUAAGUUCAGCCUCAAUAUGGUGACCUCUGAUAAGCAGGAUUGUCUAAAGAGUGGUGAACAGGCCCACGAUGGAAAUGGAGCAGGUCAAACUGUGCUGAUCUGUGGUGGGAUCGUGACUGUGAAUAGCCACUGCAUUCCACCCUGGACAACAUAGUGGGACUCCGUCUCU